UUGCCAGAACUGCGCCCCUUCACACACGGCCGCGCUCACGCACACCCCCCAGACGAGAAAAUGAAUCCGCAUUUAUGAACCAGCGGGGGCUCGUUUCCGGGGUCCCGCCGAGUGGGGGCGGUGGGGCCAGGCCGCCCGACCUCCGAGAUGUCUCGCUUUCCAGGGCGUGACCGCGGCCGGCCGCGCCCUCUCCCUCUCCCACUCCAGUUGCUUUCACUGAAGCCCUCCUUUUGUCCCUGAGGCUUGAAUUUUAAGAUGUUCAUAGAGUCCCAAGAGAGCUGAAUCCGGGGUCGGAAACGUCCGCCGGUUAUUCUGGCAUAUUCUACUGAAAUGAGUCAGUGUUACUGCAGUUGUUUGUGAGUAUGUGUGCGCGAGGCACACGGUCACUGGAGAACCACACCCCCUAAAUGAGGGCUUCACCCCCUAAAUGAGGGCUUCCUAAUUUGGGCAGUUCUACAGCUGAAAGGAACCAUCCCCGGCUGGAGACUCCCAGGACGAUGGGACGGAGGAGGAAUCAAAUUCUUCAGUCGAGGCCUUCCUGGCUGUUUCAGAGCUCUGUGGUUGGCGUGGUUGAAACUUGAGAUACUUGCAAUGUAUUGUAUGACUGGGAAGAAGAAUAAACAUAUAAGAACUUGAAGAUAAUGGCCAAGCCAAUGGAAAGAAUUUCCAGGGAAAUAUAUUCCCUUAUCCUGCCACUGUACAGAAGAGUAACAACCAACCAGCCAAUCAACAGAAGGGAAAAAAAAUUAACAACCAAUACUUUCAAGACCAUCUCAUUAAUAAUCACAGGACUAAGCAGCGUUCUACUUCAAUUCACUGCUUGACCUGGAAACUCAAUACAAGACAGCAUCUUCGUGGCCCAACAUUAUUAUCCUUCUCUGAAGAUAUAACAGCUUAACCCAUCACAAAGGAAUAACACCUUGUAUCCACCAUUCCAGAGUAAAAAAGGCGGCUGGACCACUCUCAGGCAACAAAGAAGGGAACAAGAUGACAGCUGUCAACUGGUGUCAAUCUCAAGCUCCUCUUCAGAAAAUCCAGUUAACCAGAGGGUGUUAAAUUCCCGAGAAGAGUCCAAUGUAACUUGCCCUGAAGUAUUGAGAAUGAUGUACUCUUACUUCAUGGCCCCUGCAUCCCCAAACUCCUAGUAAACUUGGCCACUUCGAUUGUAGCAAAUUCAACUUCAAAUUGUUCUUUAAACAACCUUUAAGGAACACUCCAGGGGGUAAUAAAAGCUUAUCUAGCUUGAGCAGUAGGAGAAUUUCACUCCUUUAACCCCAAUCUCAGCAGGAAGCAGUUAUAGAAGACUGACCUCCGCCCAGGACCCCUCAAGAAUGAGGAAUGAAAUAUCUCAAGGGAGGAUCUUGUAAGCAGAAACGUUAGGAGUCCCCCCCAAAAAACAAAGACAGACAUAGCUUUCUCAAUCUGAGAAAAGUCAUUUUAGGCCUCCAGCCAUCUUGUGAAAGAACGGAAGAACAGUCAUAAUCAGGCCCAGAGAUAACCUAAUCAUAUUCAAAAGUGAAGAUUGGACUGAUGCACACUCUUGAGUUAUCUCUGCAGGAUCUAAACCCCUUUGAGCACUCAGAUGCCAGACCAACAGGAGCCAGAGAAUUGAUGACGCUCACCCUUGCCAGCCCUGAUGACUUUGGUCUGGACUAAGUACCUUCAGAGGACUUUUGCCUCAAUUCCCUGCUGUAUUCUCCAUUGCACAAGCCCCUUCAUGAAUGCACAUGCACCCAUAGCUUAAAACUUGCCUGAUUUUAUGGUUGAGGAGACACUGCUUUGAGAAAGAUCCCCAAUGUUCUCCUUCACUUACUGUAAGUCAAAUCCUUCUCUUACUCAUUCUCUGGCUUGGUGGCGUCUCUUGGCUCACCUACCUACCAAGAGACAAACCUAGUUUUGGGGAACAAGAUGAGGGAGUGAUUAAGUCUAUCUAGAAGGUGGAGGACCAUGCUCAGGGGAACUUCAGGGAGGAGGUGCACCCUCAACAGCAAGGACAACACGCAAGGUUGUUGUUAAGGGCAAACUCAGAGCAAAGGGUACUGGGUAGUCCUGGGUACAGAACUCCCAGGCCCCUGUGAGGCCCUCUCCCCAAGUGGGAACUUAUCUGCAUACUGAAUUUGGGUGUCUCCUUAGAAUGGGAUUAGGAGCCCUAAGACCCACUUGCACUUACUUUUUGGAUCUUAACUUGCAACCCCCUUUGAUUGGUUAAUAAAUUUCUUGCUUAGGUAAGUGAAAUCUCCUGUUCUGUUCUAGACAACUCACACUUGGCCUACUAGGUGUUUGGUCCCUUUAAAGUACUUGUAUCCAGUGUCACCAUAUUUUUUUAUUAGUCAGCUUUGCAGAAUUCAAGGGCUGACUCACUGGCACACCCUACAUUUAACUGUUUCAAGUGAAAGUCUCUUCCUCCUGUCCUCUGAGGCAAGCUCCUUAAGGGUGAAGUCUAUUUUUUUCCCUCCUUUUUUCCCUCCAUGUAUCCCACAAUACCAACUGUGCUAGGCUGGUGGUCAAUGUCUUCCGUCUUUUCUCCCUAAGGCAGUUCCUAUUUCUCAAACUUUUCUCCUCUUCUUCCAAUCCAUUUACUGCCUCCUAAUCUCCCACCUCCUAUAGUAAAUUUCCCUCUGGCCCCAGAUACAAUCCACUUUCUAGGAAAUGCAAAAUGUUUUCUGGAGAGAACAAAGCCCUCCCCAGGGGUUUGGAUAUUUGACUGUAGAACAGGAUUAGACAUAGGUUAAAUCUACUGACCUUCAUGGUUUCUUCCCUCAUUGAGAUUUUUAUGAUUCUGUUUUAAGGUACUGCUUUUAAGUUUCAAACAGCUUGUUUGCCACAUUUCCUUGUUCUACAGAUUUUUUUCAGGUGCUAUUAUAGCGGGAAGAAGGAGGAUGGGGGAUAUAAAAGUAUGGAAGCUAUAACCUUUAAAUUGAGAUUAGGAAAUUGUUGGUUGACAAAACAUGUUUACUGUGUUAGUCAUUAAUACAUUUAUAAAGUAAUUUAUGAAUCACACAAUAAUAAAACCAAAUUCAAGGCUAUUUAAAGGAUGUGUAACAAUCUUCUGUAAUCUCUGAAUACUGUGCAAAAAUAAGACAUUAAUAUCAUCAUUACUGAUAACUGUCCUAAAUGUGUGAUUUUCCCAACCAAGGCACAAGAUUAAGAAUUCUAGAGAUCUGGGACACCUGGGUGGCUCAGUGGUUGAACAUCUGCCUCGGUCGUGAUCCUG